UACGAAGGGUGCAAGCGUUACUCGGAAUUACUGGGCGUAAAGCGUGCGUAGGUGGUCUGUUAAGUCUGAUGUGAAAGCCCUGGGCUCAACCUGGGAAUUGCAUUGGAUACUGGCAGGCUAGAGUGCGGUAGAGGGUAGUGGAAUUCCCGGUGUAGCAGUGAAAUGCGUAGAGAUCCGGAGGAACACCGACGGCGCAGGCAGCGUCCUGGCCGCUUGCUGACACUGAGGCACGAAAGCUGGGGGAGCAAACAGG
rnacentral:rRNA from 1 species